rnacentral:rRNA from 1 species
AGUGAACGCUGGCGGUAGGCCUAACACAUGCAAGUCGAACGGCAGCACAGUAAGAGCUUGCUCUUACGGGUGGCGAGUGGCGGACGGAUGAGGAAUACAUCGGAAUCUACUUUUUCGUGGGGGAUAACGUAGGAAAACUUACGCUAAUACCGCAUACGACCUACGGGUGAAAUCAGGGGAUCUUCGGACCUUGCGCGAUUGAAUGAGCCGAUGUCGGAUUAGCUAGUUGGCGGGGUAAAGGCCCACCAAGGCGACGAUCCGUAGCUGGUCUGAGAGGAUGAUCAGCCACACUGGAACUGAGACACGGUCCAGACUCCUACGGGAGGCAGCAGUGGGGAAUAUUGGACAAUGGGCGAAAGCCUGAUCCAGCAACACCGCGUGGGUGAAGAAGGCCUUCGGGUUGUAAAGCCCUUUUGUUGGGAAAGAAAAGCAGCAGGUUAAUACCCCGCUGUUCUGACGGUACCCAAAGAAUAAGCACCGGCUAACUUCGUG